GGUCAAGAAACUAAGGGCGCAAGGCGGAUGCCUUGGCACCAGGAGGCGAAGAAGGACGUGACAAGCAACGAAAACCUCGAAUAGGAGCAAAUAUCCAGUAACUCGGGGGAAUCCGAAUGGGGAAACCUACUAGACACACUCUAGUAUCCAUACGUAAAUACAUAGCGUAUGGAGGCGAAUGUUCUGAACUGAAACAUCUAAGUAGGAACAAGAAAAGAAAGAAAACUCGAUUCUCCAAGUAGCGGCGAGCGAACAGAGAACAGCCCAUUAAAGUAAGACUAAACUGAUAGACAAAUCUUAUGGAAAGAAGAACCAAAGAAAGUAACAGUCUUGUAGUCGAAAUCAGAAUAGAGACACUUUAAGAAGAGUACCACGGAGCACGUGAAAUUCUGUGGGAAGAUAGGGGGACCACCCCCUAAGGCUAAAUACUACCUGGUGACCGAUAGCGAAUAGUACCGUGAGGGAAAGGUGAAAAGAACCCCGGGAGGGGAGUGAAACAGAACCUGAAACCUUGCGCCUACAAGCAGACAGAGGAAGAAGACUUCUAAUGUCGUACUUUUUGUAGAACGGGCCAGCGAGUUACGAUACGUAGCAAGAUUAAACAUUUAAGAUGUGAAGUCGCAGGGAAACCGAGUCUUAAUAGGGCGAAAGUUGCGUGUUGUAGACCCGAAACCGGGUGAUCUAUCCAUGGGCAGAGUGAAGGUAAAGUAAAAUUUACUGGAGGCUCGAACCGGGUAGCGUUUAAAAGCUAUCGGAUGACCUGUGGAUAGGGGUGAAAAGCCAAUCGAACUCGGAUAUAGCUGGUUCUCCUCGAAAUAGCUUUAGGGCUAGCCUUGUUUUAGAUUACAGGAGGUAGAGCACUGAAUAGUCUAGGGGAAGUAAUUCUACCGAAACUUAUCAAACUCCGAAUGCCUGAAAAUCGAUGAACAGGAGUCAGACCAUGAGGGAUAAGCUUCAUAGUCAAAAGGGAAACAGCCCAGACCACCAGUUAAGGUCCCAAAAUACAGAUUAAGUGGGAAAGGAUGUAAUACUACUCAGACAACCAGGAUGUUGGCUCAGAAGCAGCCAUACAUUUAAAGAGUGCGUAAUAGCUCACUGGUCAAGUGGUAAUGCGCCGAAGAUGAACGGGGCUAAAUCUGAUACCGAAACUGUGGGAUAGAAAAGCAAUUAUGCGAGAAGUAUGAAGUAAAAGUGAUUAGGAAAUAUAUCAACUAGUAAAGUAAGAGAGAAAGACAUUAAUUAAAACUAUUAAACGAUACAAUUUCUAAAACACUUAACAACAUACAACUGGCAUAAUAGCUUUUCUAUCGGUAGAGGAGCGUUGUAUAUGAAUUGAAGCAAAAAGCGUAAGCAAUUGUGGAUUAUAUACAAGUGAGAAUGCUGGCAUGAGUAGCGAAAAGGGAUGUGAGAAUCAUCCCCGUCGAAAGCCCAAGGAUUCCUGAGCAAGGCUCGUCCUCUCAGGGUAAGUCGGGACCUAAGGCGAGGCCGAAAGGCGUAGUCGAUGGACAACAGGUAGAAAUUCCUGUACUACAAGAUUGUGAUUGAGAGAAGUACUGACGCAGAAGGAAAAGUCGAGCGUGUGAAUGGUAGAACACGUCCAAGUAACAAGCCAGAAUAUACAGGCAAAUCCGUAUAUUCGUUAACGUAAGUUAUCAUGGGGAGCAGAAAGAUGCGAAGCGACAGAUUCAAACUGCCAAGAAAAGGUGCUAUCGAAUAAUCUUGUACCCGUACCGCAAACCGACACAGGUAGGCAAGAAGAGAAUUCUAAGACGCGCGGAAGAACCUUUGUUAAGGAACUCGGCAAAAUAAUCCCGUAAGUUAGCGAGAAGGGAUGCCUAAGAAAUUAGGUCGCAGAGAAUAGGCCCAAGCGACUGUUUACCAAAAACACAAGUAUCUGCUAAAUCGAAAGAUGAAGUAUAGGUGCUGACACCUGCCCGGUGCUGGAAGGUCAAGGGGACUUGUUAGAGCAAUCGAAGCAACGAACUUAAGCCCCAGUAAACGGCGGCCGUAACUAUAACGGUCCUAAGGUAGCGAAAUUCCUUGUCGGGUAAGUUCCGACCCGCACGAAAGGUGUAACGAUUUGGG
rnacentral:rRNA from 1 species